CAGACGAUCAGCUGGUGCACCAACAACAGAACCUUUGACCUUCACUGAAUGAACAGCUUUGAUGGAUGCAGCAGGCAAAUUUGGAUUUCUGUAACAGAGGAAGGCACUUCUUGUUUUGCAAAGCAAAAGCCUAUUUCUUUGACCCCUAAAAAAUUUCAAAUGGAGGUGUGGACCCCUUUGGAAAUCUUAGAGCGAGUAUGUGGACCACAGGUGGAAAACCACUAUUGUAAAGGAUAAAGAUUUUUUUCCUGGCCUCAUUUCCAGAAUCUUCAGAAAAAUAAAUGUCAUGUGAAUUCAAUGCUCAUGAAAGGUUCCAGUGUGACAGCACAAGUGAAAGCUUCUCUAUUGCCCCUGCAUAUCCUUAGGUUUUUGGUGGCUCUUUCAGACUCUCAGAACUUUCCCAAAGACAUCAGUGCAGUUGAUGGUACAGCCAUGGGCUCUACAAACGCAAUGUUAGAAGGUGCUGCAACUGUUACAAUGGAAGAGAGAACAACAACGUCCAGGCAAGUUGCAAAAAUAAAAUUCUAGAGUUUCACCUAUUGCCAAGUUUCAUUUAAACCUGAAGCAAAGAUAAUCUGAUUUCCCACAUCUCUUUACCCUUCAAGGUCAGGUAUUCUGUCAACCUCUUGAAACAAACACACACAAAUUAUGUAGAUGGAUCAAUUUACCAUUUUUUGCUGUUGAUUUAAUUUUUACAUUUAUAGUAAAUUAAAGUGAGUUGUGAAUAUUUGGCUUUGAAUAAGGAGUUAUCAACCUGAAAAGGUUGAGAAUCACUGCUCUAUGCAAGAUUUACUUUUCUUUUGGUUAGAAUCAACUUAUUGCCUUAUGCUCAGUUCACAUGGUAUUUUGAGAUUACUGAAUUUUGGUUUUAUACUCCAUUUCCACUCAUUAGCUGUACAUUGCUUUACUAUUUUUUCUGGUGGACAUACUUUGAGUACAUCCAUUUUCACAUUUCUUAAACAAGACAAUAUCAGUUCUUGCUUUCUGUUGCAGAGAAUUUUGUAAUAUGUUAAGAAAUUAGAUGUAUGAUCAGAAAACAUAUUUCUGUAAACACAGAGUAAGAUUUGUGUAAAUAAUUUUCAAGAAUUUCAUAAGAAAUAGCUAUUAGCAAGUGGAUGAAUUUCAGAUGCUAAAAAACUGUUUGAAUUAUCAUUUCCAGAGAAAGAAGAGUGCCAACUCAGCCUUACUAUUCUAAUACCAAAUUCAAGCAGGAGAGAGAAUUAUAAAACAAAUCUAUAAGAAGCCAAUCUUAAAACCAUGUCUUCCCUUCAACCUUAAUGGAUAAAAUAGAUGGAAUGAAUAUGCAGUAGUAAACUUGUAUCUUGAUACCAGCAAGAUAUUUGAUAUGGUUUCAGUUGACAGUCUCCUAGGGAAAUGAGAUGUGGGUUAACUGGAGGUAAUAUAGAGCUGCCAAGGGGGUUCUGCAGGAGUUCUGGAUCCAAAAUCAUUAAUUUUUUCUACAAGAAACUUGGAGUGUGGAAUAGAGAUUAUGAUAGUCAUAUUUGUGGAUGAUUUGAUGCUGGGAGACACUAACGAUAGGAUAAAAUUUAGCAUAACCUUUAGAGAAAUAGGAUGAAAUCAACAAGUUACAAUUCAGAGAAAUAUGAAGUGGCGCAAAAGUAAUAAUCAGACUCAAAUAUAGAUGUAAGAUAUUGCCUAAGUAGAAGGACCUCGCAACUUAAAUUAGCAAGAUAAUUCUGCUCUACUCAACACUUUGUAUGCCUCAUUUAGAGUAAAGGAUUCAGUUGGGGGCUCCAAAAGAACAGACAAAUGAGAGAGGCAGAUUUCACCAAUAAUAAGAUCUAAAAAAAUAAAACCUAAAAGGUGAAGCAGACUAGGCACAUUACAUCGGGAAAGACUGUAUAGAACAGUAUUUCUUAAAAAUAAGAAAGGAUGCGAUACAGAAGAGAGAGGUAUUUUCAUUAGUCAGUAAAAUCAAAGUAUGAUGAACAGAUUAAAAGGUGCAGCAACAAAAUUUUAGGUUACAGAUUCAGAAGAUGGUUAUAUGCCACCAAACCAUUCAAGAAAGCAAAACAAGCUACCAGGGGAGGGGAGGAAUCUCCUUCACAUGAGAUAUUAAAAAUUGUAUACAAUAUCAUUUUAUCCGGGAUAAUAAAAUUCCAUCUCCACAUACGAUGCAGGAAAAUAAUUAGGUAACCCAUUAGUCAUCCUUUCCAACUUAAAUGACUGUAUGAUCAUAAAUGAAUUAGAGAAGACAUAACCAUAAAAGCUAUUCCCAUUGUGGCUGAUUUUAGACAUUAAAAUUUUGGCUCAUUCUCCCUACGCAAAUUUUAAAUCAUUUGGAAUUUCCAAGAACUACAAGUCAAAGCACCACUGUAAAACAGCUGAUGAAAGCAGUUGUGAAAUCUUACAGUUGGUCAAAAGUUACAUAUAAAUAUUCAAGAUGAAUUAUUAUAUCAUUUUAAUGCCUUUUACAUUAUCUGUACUAAAGAAGAGAAGAGUCAGUUAUGCAUGUGCGUACACAGUGGGAGCCGCUUAACUGCUGUGACUAAUUGUGUGACUCCAAAUCAAAACAAACUCUCAAAUAUACAAUGAAUAGUUUAAAAAAAGUUCUUAAAUGUGGGAAAUGUAACAAAUAAGGAGUUUUCUAAUUAAUUGCUGCUCUGUGGAAAACAGUUUCUCAAUAAAUUACUUAAAGUUAAAAAGUGAUGUUACACACAGUGAUGCUGGAAGUAGGAGUGCUACUGCACCCCCUGGCUUGAAGCAGUAAUAACAAACCCCAAAUACAUGGUUUCCAUCAGCAACACUCCUCUAUAAAAAUUGGUCCAUCACCUCUGGUUAAACACAGAUAUGGGCUCUGGGUUCAGCAAGGUAAUGAAGCAUGUGCAUACUUUCAGAAGGUAAGUAGCCCAUUGACUUCAAUCAGCCUAAACAUGUGCUUGAAGUACCUUGCUAAAUUGAGGCUAUAAGGAACCUAAAUUAAGGUCACAGAGGUGAGAGGAGUUACUCUGUGCUUGAAGGAGGACCAAAGAUAGUUCUCGGUGUGGCAAAAAACAAAACAAAACAAUAAAAACCUACAAUGAGACCAGAAAAAAAGUUAUUAACAGUAACUGUAGUUAAAAUAGAUGUGGUCCAAGUGUUAGUUCAAAACCUUCUAGAAAGCAAUAACUGUUGUGAUUCCAUACAGAGCUGAAUGUUAGCACUUGAGGGCAUAAAAAAGGACCACAGCAUUAGUGUCCCUUAUUUCCUUCCACUUACCGAGAGCUUGUAAUAGAACCUCUGUAAAAGCAGGGAUGGAGCUAUACAGGCAAUCAACUUUCAUUCUCCUUUGGGUAUUGACAGUAUAGAGCCCCACCCUUGGUAGACUUACAGCAGCCACCAAAGGCAAUAAGGAUGAGAACUAGUUUAACUGAAGGACUGCUCUUCUGAACUGGAUAUUAUACUUAAUUACCAAGUCAAAAGAGUAACACACUGUUUGAACUGAGCUUCAGAUAAGUUUGUAUGCAAAAUUUUAAUCCUCUACAGCUCUCCCUGAGCAAGUAAUAACUAAGGCCCUAACCCUCUAAUGACCGCCACAUGGGUGGGCCCCUGAACAAAGCCUGAUUUCUUCAAGAGAUGGAGUUUGGAAACUCACUGGGUGUGAGAGUUCCUAGGGUAAGGCUCAACAAGACUAAGGGUGAAAGCAGUGUGAAUGGCACACGACUGAAAGUUUGCAUAUCUGGUUCUAUUCUCAGGUCUGUCACUUCAUGUCACUCUGUACCUCACUUUCCCUCUCAUCUGAAAAAUGGGGAUGAUAAUACUUUGAGAUCUACCGAUGAAAACCAGUACAUAUGUUUAGUGAUCAGUAGGCAUCUGGGAGUGACCUUUACUCAGGAACUUUAAGUACUGGGAACAUUGGUGAAUAAGUGACAUUUUACCAAGCCACAAUGUGUAUCUCUUGACGUUUAGGAAAAAAAUUUAUUGGAUGGCAACAAAAAUAACUGAGCAAAAGCAGAGAACCAGUAAGCCAGUAAGAAACUCCAAAUGGAACAGAGCUAGAGUUAACUACCGAGACCAAGAGCUGAAGGGUAUGACAUCAAGGUUCUGACCUUCACCCAACUGAAGCAGGAAGAAAAUGAGCUAUGCUUUUGGCUCUUGGGUCUCAACCUUAGGCUUCAUGUGUAUAGUGCUAUCAAUCAAAGUAGGUUCCUGUGCAGCACCAAAGGCACAAGUCCCAAGAGUGUGAAUAUAUAUAGACAAUGUAGGUGGAUUAACUUUCCCUACUUAGAGACAACCGUAAAUGAAGAACCUACUUUUAUGCAGAGACUUUCUACUCCAUUUCUCUCUUCUCCCCCACCUCCAACUGUGAAAUUCAAAGAAGAAACUUCUGCUGGGCUUUAAUAUUUAUAUUUUGGAAGGUGAGGCAACUCUCCUUCCUCCUGUAUGGCAACAGGAAUGCUAGGAUUUUUCUGGGCAUGGCUUCACUUUUUAAUUAUUCCCUCUAGUUUUGUUCCCUCUUUCCUUCCUUUUCCAGUCUUUUCUCUAACAGAUUACUCCCUAACAUUUAAGAUCUCUGCAUUUCCAUCCUUGCCUGAUCAGUACUGAGCAGCUCCCUUUAAUGCUGGUAUGGUAAUGGAGCAGCAGUGCUAGAGAGACCUGAUCAGUUCUGACCUUUGGUUAGAGAACACCAGGUCUUUCAAGGAGAGAGGGGAUUUUACAGCCAAAGAACUUCCACCCAACCCCCAACCAAAAACACGCAAACUCAAAAACCCCCUGUACUGGAGGUAAAUUUACAUUUAAGGUUGCUACUGUGAAUAAAUCCUUACACAAGGUAUAUGGCCUAAAUAUUAUAAUAUUAAAAACCUAAGCAUGGAAGUUACAAUUGGAAAAGGUAAUAAGUUAUGUAAAUAUUCUACAGCCCUUAUAGGUCAUACAUUUAAUUAAUAAGAAAUGUGAAAAUUCAUCUUGCACACUAGAAAAAUGUAAUUCUGACCCAUUUUCAGCAUACAGAUUUUUAGUUACAUAUGGUACUUGUCACAGUCCAAAUUAAACAUCUAUUGGUUUGUAUGUUGAAAGAGUUUGUAAAUGCAUUUUACCUAGAAAACACACCUCCAACACAAUAUCUAGAGUGAAAUUUAGAUUACCUAAGGUCUGCACAGAAAUGGUUGCUGCUGAUUCUCUUUUUCUCUUAUCUACCAGUAAAAAAAAAAAAAUCUGCUUAAAAUCACUAAGUCUAAGAAUGCUGUAUCUAGAUCAAAUAAACUCUGACCCUUGAAAAGUAGAGCUGCGAGACCCAAUUUGGAACUAAAAUCCCCAGUCCAAAGUUUAAUCCACAAUGCAGUCCUAGACAUCAAGCUACAUGCUAAAUACUUGUGUAGGUAUGUAACGGUGUCAAUAGAUUACAUAUAAAGUUACCUACUAAGGCUAUCAAAUUAGUUCAUUUCUUAUCUUUUAGGACCCCUUAUAGUAUGUCUCCUUAAAAAGUUCCUUCAGGUAAUCCUUUAACGCUAAGGGUGAAUUUCACCCUUCCCAUGCUGACUCUAAGGAAACAGGCUCUGUGUGGAGUUAGGAUGGUGAUGAAACAUAUCCCCUCCACUGCUUCAUGGGUGUCCCUGGUUACUUGAUCCAUGAAAGUGUGAAUGACUCCAUAGUACAAUGGUUAGGGCACCCACCUGGGGAGCAGGAGAUGCUGAGUCAAGGAGAUGCUGCUUCAAUCACUCUGUUCUGCCUCUGAACACUCCCUCUGCAACCAACUGUUCAGAACUGAAAUAGAGCUUGUCUUUGUAUCACGCAGGGAGUGCACAGGGACCUCUUCUAUUGCUAUUCUGCCUGGUCUCCUCCCUCCUCUCCAGUUUCAUGGCAAUUUUUCCAUGCCCAACUUCAACAGAAAGACCAAAGUCCAUCUGAACAAGAGGCCUGAGAUUAUCCUAUAUCUGCAUUUAAGAUGGUAUUACGGGUGCAGAAAAUAUCAGAACAGUUGACCAUAGUAAUGCAGUUCAUUUAUACAAUAAUUAAUAUUUAGGUUGCAAAAUGGUAACUAAUACAUUUGUAACAGGGAGGAAGAAUAUUAAAAGAAGCAGGGUAAAAGGACAUUUUUAUGGCAUUCACUGUAUAUGAAUAUCUCGGCUACUUCAGCUAUCUUAAAUGCCAGAAAGUCUAGAAAUAAUUAAGUGCUACGGAAAUUUUUUGCUAUUAAGCAAUAAAUGUUGUAAACUAAUAAAAUAUUUACAGUUUUAACUAUCCAACUGUUUUUUAAGCUUGGAAUACAUAAAAGCAGAAACCACAUAUUUCUUCCUGUCACCUUUCCUGCUUAAAACCAUGAUAUCCAAAGAAGAGUACAACACAGAUAUCACUAAUUUAAGGUUCUCUGGGUGCGAGUCAGCAAGAAUUGUCUAUUUGUAUGAAUAAUCAUUAGGUAUUAAGGACAGUGUCAGAAUUGUAUGCUAGCUUACUAUGAGCAUACUCUUAAUUUUUAGUAUUUUUAAGCAAGUGUAAAGAUAUGUCUUGCUUUGAAUUGCAGUCUAGAGCCUUAACGAUAAGUUAGAGCUUGACUGGGAAUUGGAAUUCAGUCUGAUCUGCUUCCAACAUUAGAGAAAAUAGCAAAGAAAAUAUUCUGUUAUCAGUACAGAACUAAAAAAAUCAAGAAAAGCCAUUGCACUCUCGAGGAGGUACAAUUUAACAGGUGUCACAUGACCUAUCCUUCCCCGGCACACACCUUGUUCAACAGGAGUGUCUCUGGGUUGCUAAAACAGCAUUUCUACCCCUCAGAACACUCGCCUGUAAAUAUUGGGCAAUCCUGGCUGCUUCUCUUAACCCUAUUUCAAGGGCCCCGCAGAGCUCUUCAAAAUCCACUGAUUGACUAUGCCACUGACUUCUGGGUUGGAAAAACCACUCAACUUUUAUUUAACCAGAUUAAACAUAAUUUCACCAUAACAAUAGCUUUCAGUAACCCUUCUACUUCUUACUCAGGGACUAGGAGGGAAAGCCUAGUCUUAUCGGAGCCUCGCAGUGCUUCCCUUCAUGGUCAGUCUAGCUCUCUGACCUGCUCUGUGAUCCUGCUCCCUGUCUCCAGGAGCCAGCCAGCAAUCCUACAAAUUCAAACCCCCCAAAGUUCCAAACGGGCACCCUCGGCGCAGUGUCCAUCCAGGAGUCCAAGCCUCUGUUAGCCCUGUGGCAUAAAUUCUUUUUGGUUCUCAUCCCAUUCCAUUAUACAAUAACAUCAUAUCAAAUAAUCUCAAUUUAAUAUAGUCCGUUUUCCAGGGAUAACCUGUAUGUGAAUGAUCAAAAAGUCAGUAUUCAAAGAAGGAAAGGAGAGACACAAGGGGGGAUGAAAAACAGGCCUUGUUCAAUACCCAAACAUAUGUUACGCUGACAAGCACUAGAACUAUCAAAGAAGUCUUACUCCAAACCGUGGAAAGGCUCUACAAAGAACCAUUUCAAAAUUCACAUAGUAACAGUAUUUGUGAAGCUCAACAGAUCUUAUAAAGUAUUUCUUCACAGUACUACUGUUUAAGCGUAACAGACAAGAUGUAGGUCAUGGACAACCAAGUGCAUUAUUAUUACUAUGUAGUCUCAGAAGCUCUCAGUCUCUUGGUGCCAAAAAUGAAACCAGAGAAAAUCCCACCUGUUACCACAUUAUUCCACUCUGAUUAGCUGUAAUUUACAUUGCUGGAAAUGUAAUUGUAAGUGGUCAUCAUUCUGAAUUUUUUGUAAUAUCGUCUUUGUCAGUGGCUUUUUUUUUUUGCCACUUGAUAUCCAAUUCACGUGACAUUUCC